rnacentral:lncRNA from 1 species
GAUAGCUAAUGGGUACGAACAAAAUAGUUAGAAAGAAUGAAUAAGACCUAGUAUUUGCUAGCACAACAGGGUGACUAUAGUAAAAAAUAAUUGCACAUUUAAAAAUACCUUAAAGAAUAUAAUUGGGUUGUUUGCAACACAAAUGAUGAAUGCUUGAGGUGACAGAUACCCCAUUUACCCUGAUGUGAUUAUUACACAUUGCAUGUCUGUAUCAAAAUAUCUCAUGUACUCCAUGAAUAUAUACGCAUACUUUGUACCCACAACUUAAAAAAAAUGUUUUUAACGCAUUCACAAUACAUUAAGAUUUUGGAAACUGGCUUGGUCUUUCUCUGUUCCAUAACAGAAAAAGAAACUGCAAUUCAUUCACAUUUCCACCACUGACAGGGAACUUACAAAGUAUUCCAUGGAAAUAGGAAAUAGGGAUAACAUAAUAACUUCAAUCCACAAAUAACUCCCAAUCCAAUGUUAGCUAAUAAUUCCAACCCCUAUUCACCCUUCUGUGUAUCAGAGCUGCCUUAAUGAAGAGAGAAGAGGUGACAGAUUGAGCUGCAUCUCCUUGGAUUUCCUUGGCAUCACUUGAACAUGCAAGGGCCGAAAGAAAGGAAGGAAAGGCAGAGAAAACAAAAGCUCAGCUGGAAGAGACUGAAAUGGAGGCACCUACUUUCAAGCCCAGACUUUAAGAGAGAACACUUCCAGAAGCCGACUUGGCCUUGAAAUUCUGACUCAUUUAUAAGACCAUGUGUUACAAAUCACAGCUUUCGGUUCGAUACUUGGCAGACCAAGGCAGAUGUUUGGCUGGAAAAAUUGCUGUUACCUGAAGUUGUGUGUUAGCAAAGAAAGCACCUAUCCAUAUGGGAUGACUGUCUCUUUGACAUCAAGCUUGAAUUCCUAUGAGUUGGAUGUCGGACCUGCUAGAACAGGAGUAAGCAAGUUUUUUGGUAACGGGCCGGACAGUAAACGUUUUAGGUUUGGAGGCCAUGAGGCUCAGUGGUCUCCAGAAAUGUACCUCUGUGUGUGGAAAUGUUCCAGAAGGCCACUCUGUCUACAGGGCCGUUGCUUCACUGCAGAUUAGAUGUCCUCCCAGAACCUUCCAGGGCACUAAUGGCCUAAACAGCUCUGGUAAGAGGAUCAGCAAGUAUUUUAGACUAGUAAAUGUGGAAAUUCUGCUCCAGUAUAAAUCAAACCAAUUUCGAUUAGAAAAUAUACUCUGUUUCCUGAACAGCUGGACAGUUUACUCUGCCAGUUAAAGGACAGUGCUUCGCCCAUCCUAGCCAGAGGGAGCUUGCGCUGGGUUGAAGUCCCUGAUAGGAGUCAGAGGGCUGGCCCUACCUGAAGUCACCCUGCUCCCCUGCUCUGUGGACAGGUGACAGCAGAUUGAGCCUGUUUGGCAAAGGCUGCUCAGAGGCUCCAUCCCAGCAGGGCGGGCACAGAGCCUUGUGUGCUACCCACAGCUUGCUGUGUAGUUUUCUCCCGCCAUAUCCCAAUGUCACACUCAAACUGCUGACAUAAAAUUCGCCACAACGCUUCCCUUCAUUUCCUCUCAGGCUGCUUUUCACUCCCAGGCUCCAUGAAGAUUUCCAUAGUUACCAAGCUCUCUAUGUAGAGUCAGCUCUGACCACCAGCAGCCCCAUCCUAAUUCCACACUGCCAUUCCCUCUCUUCUUGACUUCUCUCCACAUUUCCUAUUCCAGUGCAGCAUUAGAACAAUGGCUUGGUACUAGCUGAGUAAGUGGUUUGCAACUACGUUUCCCCCUCCCACUAGAGGAACCAACCUGCUAAAGGAAGUCACUGCAGAAAAUACCCCCCCCUUUUUUUCUCUGAAAAGAGCUUUCCAAUAAUCUCCCUUCCUUUUUUUUUUUUUUGAGAUGGAGUCUUGCUCUGUCUCCCAGGCUGGAGUACAGUGGCAUGAUCUUGGCUCACUGCAACCUCCACCUCCUGGGUUCAAGCGAUUCUCCUGCCUCAGCCUCCCAAGUAGCUGGGACUACAGGCGUGCACCACCAUGCCAAGCUAAUUUUUGUCUUUUUAGUAGAGACAGGGUUUCACCAUGUUAGCCAGGCUGGUCUUGAACUACUGACCUCAGUACUCAGUACUGAUCCGCCUGCCUUGGCCUCCCAAAAUGCUGGGAUUACAGGUGUGAGCCACCGCGCCCGGCCACAUUUUUAAUGUUCCUUUUGCAUGACCUUCAACAUGGACUUUCUGAGAACUGGGCUCUGCAUUGUCUUCAUUUAGCUCUUCAAGCAGGUCUUUCGUCUUCUUAAAAGUGACAUUCAUAAAGCAGGGAGGUCAAUGGAAGGCUAGGGCCAUGCAAAGGCUGUCAGCCACGGAAGAUGCUGCCCCCUGCCUCAGAACACAGGCGGACUGCUGACAACACCUGAACCGGCAGGGGAGAGGUGACCUUGGGUUGGAAACAAAGGGCUGAGCCCUGGAAGCAUGCUUGCUAGUUCCCUGCAACAACACAGCCCCUCACCCUAGGCAGCGCAAGAGCACAGAAAACAAAGCCUCAUUUGGCAUCUCUGAUAUCAUCUUUGGAAGUGAAUAAGACAAAUAACUUAAAAGGUGCAGGGGAGAUCGAUGACGCUGCUAACUUGAGACUGUCCAUAUGAGAGGUUCUGAUUUAUCAGCCUUCAUAGGAGCUGAUAAGCUCUUGAAAUGAGUGUUCUGUGAUCGGCGGCCGUACCUCCUGGUAGUCUGUGUUGCUCUCCUGGU